GAUGAACGCUAGCUACAGGCUUAGCACAUGCAAGUCGAGGGGUAACAAGAGGAAAGCUUGCUUUUCUUGUUGACGACCGGCGCACGGGUGAGUAACGCGUAUCCAACCUGCCUAUAACUAGGGAAUAACCUUGCGAAAGUAAGACUAAUACCCUAUGAUUUCCUUUGAUGACAUCAGAUUAGGAAUAAAGAUUUAUCGGUUAUAGAUGGGGAUGCGUCUGAUUAGCUUGUUGGCGGGGUAACGGCCCACCAAGGCAACGAUCAGUAGGGGUUCGGAGAGGAAGGUCCCCCACAUUGGAACUGAGACACGGUCCAAACUCCUACGGGAGGCAGCAGUGAGGAAUAUUGGUCAAUGGGCGGAAGCUUGAACCAGCCAAGUAGCGUGCAGGAUGACGGCCCUAUGGGUUGUAAACUGCUUUUAUACAGGAAUAAAGUUAGCCACGUGUGGUUAUUUGUAGGUACUGUAUGAAUAAGGACCGGCUAAUUCCGUGCCAGCCGCCGCCGUAA
rnacentral:rRNA from 1 species